UCUAACUUACAUCUAAUUGACGGCAGC
rnacentral:sRNA from 1 species